rfam:Waddlia chondrophila WST 86-1044, complete genome.
GGUGGCAUGGCCAAGUGGUAAGGCAGAAGCCUGCAAAGCUUCCAUCCCCAGUUCGAAUCUGGGUGCCACCU